GAGUUUGGGAAAUAGUUGUGAUGGAAUUGGAACUGACCCUCCUGCAAUUUUCUGUGCUUCUGAUUGCCUGUUUUGCACUCCGGUUUGCUGCUUCUGAAACAAUAUCUAAUGACAAGGUUCAUGCUCCACUGGUAGCUUCCAAGAAUGAAAGCAAUAAAGAAAACAAAUGCUACCACAUGCGUUGUCAUAGGGAGUAUCUUAUUAUCCUUGCAGUUGUAAGUGGGUUGAUUCUCUGUACAACAUUAGCUGUGGUGAUUUGGCUUCUUGUUUACAGACGAAGCAGGAAGCGUAGAAAGUCCCGCAAAUUAUCUAAUCCAGCUGCUUCGGCAUUAGUUCCGCUAUCAUGGAAAGUCUUCACGAAUGAGGAAAUGAGGUCAAUUACAAAGAAUUUUA
rnacentral:misc_RNA from 1 species